rnacentral:sRNA from 1 species
CUGUGGGGGGUGGUGACUGGGGGAACUCUCAGAUGCCUCAGCACCCUCCCACCCCUUCCUCAGGCAGAACGAGAUCUUGUGGCGGGAGGUGGUGACACUUCGGCAGAGCCAUGGUCAGCAGCACCGGGUCAUUGGCAAGCUGAUCCAGUGUCUCUUUGGGCCACUUCAGGCGGGGCCGAGCAAUGCAGGAGGCAAGAGAAAGCUGUCCCUGAUGCUGGAUGAGGGGAGCUCAUGCCCAACACCUGCCAAGUUCAACACCUGCCCUCUGCCUGGUGCCCUUCUGCAGGACCCCUACUUCAUCCAGUCGGUAGGUUUGUCUUCUUCCCCCUUCCCAAGGGCAUGGCUGGGCUUAUGGAGAGCCUGUUCCUUCUCCCCAUCCCCUAAAAGGAAGAGAAGAUGGAAGCCAGCCUUCCCCCCAACCAGACCCAGGCCCUCCAGCAUGGACUGAGCCUCCUCCCUCAAACCUUCUCCCUUAGACCUGGCCCAGCCCUCACAGGGCCAGGGGCCCCAUCAUCUCUGACAUCCCA